UACAGAGGUCCCAAGCGUUGUUCGGAUUCAUUGGGCGUAAAGGGCGUGUAGGCGGGAAGGAAAGUCAGAUGUGAAAUCCCCAGGCUCAACCUGGGAACUGCAUUUGAAACUCCCUUUCUUGAGUACCGGAGAGGAAAGUGGAAUUCCUGGUGUAGAGGUGAAAUGCGCAGAUAUCAGGAGGAACACCGAUGGCGAAGGCAGGUCUCUGGGCAUUAACUGACGCUGAGGAGCGAAAGCAUGGGGAGCGAACAGG
rnacentral:rRNA from 1 species